rnacentral:rRNA from 1 species
AACGUAGGAGGCAAGCGUUAUCCGGAUUUACUGGGCGUAAAGCGCCAGCAGGCGGUGUCCUAAGUUGGACGUUAAAUCUUCUGGCUUAACUGGAAGGGGCCGUUCAAUACUGGGACACUUGAGGGCAGGAGAGGGAAGCGGAAUUCCCGGUGUAGUGGUGGAAUGCGCAGAUAUCGGGAGGAACACCAGUGGCGAAGGCGGCUUCCUGGCCUGUUUCUGACGCUCAGGGGCGAAAGCUAGGGUAG